ensembl:lncRNA
GCAAGGAUGUUCUCCAGUUGCAAUCCAACAUAGCUAGCUAAUUUAUAUGAAAUUUCAUUUUGGAGAAGGAACGUAGACCGCAGCAGUUUCUAAAUAGCUAACUGAAUAGGUGAGUUUUUCAAUCUGGAUCAAUGGCUCUACCAACCCUCUCUGCCCACAUUGGCCGAGUCGAGUUCGUUCCUUGGAAAGCCAGAUGGUGCGGCAGGGGGAACAGGAGGCACGUUGGCGGCAACACUGGGAGCUGCACUCAAUGCACUAAAGGCAACAACAGAACAUUGAGGCGGACUGCAGACUCCUGCCAGACCUGUUGUAGUAGGAGCAAGGGGGAGGGCAGUGGCAGAGGGCGGUGGCGGACGCCGCCUGGAAGAAGCAUAUCAUCGCGGAAUAGCUGCAGUUGGAGAGGGGGUGGGAGGCUGUUUGCUGUCCUGUACAGGGAGAAGUCCCAGCGUGUUUGGGAGAAGUGGGAGGCAGAGUAGGAGAGGAGAGCCAGGGAGAGGCUCAUUCAGGAGGCUCUUGCAGAUGGAGCUCAAGAUGCAGGAGAACCGUCAGGCUCAGGAUGAGUCUCUGAGGAGGCGGGGGGAGGGCUGAUCCAGGAGCUGGAGAGGCAGACCAGACGCCGAGAGGGUGGAGGAAGAGGGCCAAAGGACGGCGAACAGGAACAGCAUGUGUUGACUGGGGUCAGUUGUUGGCCUGGGUUAGAUUGAGUGGAGGGAGGCCCAAUGAUGUGGCUCAUUGUUCUCUCUCCCCUGCAGGUGAAGGCGAGGGAUGCCCAAAGUCUGCAGGAGGAUGAGCAGAGGCUGGAGACUCAUAGGAUGGCCCAGCAGAGCUACCAGGACAAG